rnacentral:rRNA from 1 species
AUUGAACGCUGGCGGCAGGCCUAACACAUGCAAGUCGAACGGUAACAGGAAGAAGCUUGCUUCUUUGCUGACGAGUGGCGGACGGGUGAGUAAUGUCUGGGAAACUGCCUGAUGGAGGGGGAUAACUACUGGAAACGGUAGCUAAUACCGCAUAACGUCGCAAGACCAAAAAGGGGGACCUUCGGGCCUCUUGCCAUCGGAUGUGCCCAGAUGGGAUUAGCUAGUAGGUGGGGUAACGGCUCACCUAGGCGACGAUCCCUAGCUGGUCUGAGAGGAUGACCAGCCACACUGGAACUGAGACACGGUCCAGACUCCUACGGGAGGCAGCAGUGGGGAAUAUUGCACAAUGGGCGCAAGCCUGAUGCAGCCAUGCCGCGUGUAUGAAGAAGGCCUUCGGGUUGUAAAGUACUUUCAGCGGGGAGGAAGGGAGUAAAGUUAAUAUCUUUGCUCAUUGACGUUACCCGCAGAAGAAGCACCGGCUAACUCCGUG